rnacentral:rRNA from 1 species
GACGAACGCUGGCGGCGUGCUUAACACAUGCAAGUCGAACGGAAAGGCCCUGCUUUUGUGGGGUGCUCGAGUGGCGAACGGGUGAGUAACACGUGAGUAACCUGCCCUUGACUUUGGGAUAACUUCAGGAAACUGGGGCUAAUACCGGAUAGGAGCUCCUGCUGCAUGGUGGGGGUUGGAAAGUUUCGGCGGUUGGGGAUGGACUCGCGGCUUAUCAGCUUGUUGGUGGGGUAGUGGCUUACCAAGGCUUUGACGGGUAGCCGGCCUGGGAGGGUGACCGGCCGCAUUGGGACUGCGAUACGGCCCAGACUCCUACGGGAGGCAGCAGUGGGGAAUAUUGCACAAUGGGCGGAAGCCUGAUGCAGCAACGCCGCGUGCGGGAUGACGGCCUUCGGGUUGUAAACCGCUUUCGCCUGUGACGAAGCGUGAGUGACGGUAAUGGGUAAAGAAGCACCGGCUAACUACGUGCCAGCCGCCGCAGUAACAC